UUUUCCAUCCCCUUGUUUUGAGUCUUUGUAUAUCUUUAGAUAUAUCGUUAGAUUUUGUGGAUAAUGUAUAUUUUGUGUGUUUAAAAUGGAGACCUCUAUUGAGUUUAUUUGUUCUGGAUCUUAGUUCAAGUCCCGGAUAUCGUUAUCAAUUUUCUGUCUCGUUGAAUCUAAAUCUCAUUAUGGGUCUUAUGUAUCUGGGUGUUAAGAUCUCUUAUUAUUACAUUAAUCCUUUUACCCUUGUAUCCUUGUAGCUUUGAAAUCUAUUUUGUCAAAUGUGAAAAUGGCAACUCCUGCUUUUUAUUUAUUUAUUUUUGCUCUCCAUUUGGUUGGUAAGUUUUUUUUUUUCCAACCCUUUAUUUUGAGUCUAUGUAUAUCUUUGGAUAUACCGUUAGAUUUUGUCUGUAUCUUUUGAUUGGGAGAUUUGGUCGAUUUAAAUUUAGGGUUGCUGCCAUUUGAUAUUAACUGGCUAUUUUGUCCUUUCGUUGAUGUAAAUUCUUCUUUAAGUUAAUGCUCUUUACUUUUUGGUGUAUUUUUAGAAAGGCUCAUACUGGUUGUUCCUUUCUGUGUAUAAUGCUUCUUUUAGAAGUUCUUGUAAAGCAGGUCUGGUGGUAAUAAAAUCUCUGAGUACUUGCUUGUUCCUAAAAGAUUUUAUUUUUCCUUCAAUUAUAAAGCUUAAAUUGGCAGGAUAUGAAAUUCUGGGCUGAAAGUUCUGUUUUUUAAGUAUAUUGAAUAUUGGCCCCUACUCUCUUCUAGCUUGUAGGGUUUCCGUUGAGAGAUCUGCUGUAAGCCUAAUAGGCUUCCCUUUAUGGGUAAACCUGAUCUUUCCCUCUGGCUGCCCUUAAUAUUUUCUCCUUCGUCUCGAUCCUGGUGAAUCUAACGAUUAUGUGCCUUGGGGUUGGUCUUCUUGAGGAAUAUCUCUGUGGUGUUCUCUGUAUUGCCUGGGGUUGAAUAGUGUCCUGCUUUGCUAAAUUAGGAAAAUUUUCCUGGAUAAUGUCCUGGAGAGUAUUUUCCAGCUUGAAUUCAUUCUCUCCAUCACAUUCAGGUACACCAAUCAAACGUAUAUUAGGUCUUUUCACAUAGUCCCAUAUUUCUUGGAGACUUUGCUCAUUCCUUUUUAUCCUUUUUUCUCUAUUCUUGUCUUGUUGUUUUGUUUCAUUAAGUUGGUCUUCGACCUCUGAUACCCUUUCUUCUGCUUGAUCCAUUCGGCUAUUUAAGCUUGUACAUAUUUCACUAAGUUCUCGUGUUGUAUUUUUCAACUCCAUAAGUUCAUUUGUAUGCCUCUCUAUAUUGUCUAUUCUUUUCAUCAUUUCAUCGAACCUUUUUUCCAAGUUCUUAGUUUCUUUACAUUGGGUUAGAACAAGUUCCUUUAACUCCCAGAAGUUUCUUAUCAUCCACCUUUUAAAGCCUACUUCAGAUAAUGGAACAGUCCUUUUCCAUCAAGGCUUGUUCGGCUACUGAUGAGUCCUUUUCCCUCAGGGCUUGUUCCAUUGCUGAUGAGUCCUUUUCCCUCAGGGCUUGUUCGUUGCUGAUGGGUUCUGAUUUUGAGUAUACUCGGCCUUCUUAGGCUGUUUUUUUCCCUUCAUUGUAGAUGAACCGCCUUUCUAAUUAGGUUUCUGAGUCGACGUCCGAUUUAUUGAUUCCCAGUGCUGGGAUCCGAGCAACCCACUGUGGCGGCCUAAAUAGCAGCGAUAAGACUGAUGAUGCUCUUCUGCCCGGGAAUCUCUGGUCUGGCUUCCCUCUUGAGUCCGCAACAAGCGGCUCUGACUUCCCGGAACUCCAAACUCCGGUCAGUAGGGGAAGCAGUCUCGUUGGCUCUGCAUGAAGAGCUGCUGCGCCUCGGCGCCAGCAAAACCGCUGCGGCAGCCACAAGAGUCGCGCUGGCGACCCGUGGGGCCCCUCCACUGGGAAUCGGCUGAUCUGUGAGUGACGAAAAUUCGUCUAAAGUGGACUGGAAAAUCUGGAAGUUUUUGUGGUUUUUCUGAGACAGUCUGGAGAGCAGUUGAAGUGCCACCAUCUCGGCUCAUUGCAACCUCCGCUUCCCAGGUUCAAGUGAUCCUCUCACCUCAGCCUGAGUAGCUGGGAUUACAGGUACGUGCCACCACAUCUGGCCAAUUAAAACAUUUUUUUUGUAGAGUUGGGGUCUCAUCACAUUGCCCAGGCUGGUCUCGAACUCCUGGGUUCCAGUGAUCCACCUGCUUGGCCUCUCAAAGUGUUGGGAUUAUAGGUGUGAGCCACCACGCCCUGUCUCUGGAAGUUUUUAAUGCAUUUUAAAAGUAUGUUAACAGAAAAUUCUUACAAAGAUAUUUUAAGAUUACAUCACAGCAAGAAACUAUUGGGACAAAGAAGAUGUACUAAAAGGCAAGUGAAUUACUAUAAUGAAAUCUGUGCAGUUUAUUGACUUUUUUUUUCCUAUUUAUUUAUUUUUUUGAGACAGAGUCUUGUUCUUGUCACCCAGGUUGGAGGGCAAUGGAGCAAUCUUGGCUCACUGCAACCUCCAUCUCCCAAGUUCAAGCGAUUCUCCUGCCUCAGCCUCCCAAUUAGCUGGGAUUACAGGCACCCACCACCAUGCCCAGCUAAGUUGAAGAUGGGGUUUUGCCACGUUGGCCAGGCUGGUCUCCUGACCACGAGGUAAUCUGCCUCAGCCUCCUGAAGUGCUGAGAUUACAGGUGUGAGCCACCAUGCUUGGCUACUGACUUUUUUUUUUUAAAGCAAAGAGGUGGGGUACA